UACGGGGGGGGGCAAGCGUUGUUCGGAAUUACUGGGCGUAAAGGGCUCGUAGGCGGCCAACUAAGUCAGACGUGAAAUCCCUCGGCUUAACCGGGGGAACUGCAUCUGAUACUGGAUGGCUUGAGUUCGGGAGAGGGAUGCGGAAUUCCAGGUGUAGCGGUGAAAUGCGUAGAUAUCUGGAGGAACACCGGUGGCGAAGGCGGCAUUCUGGACGGUGACUGACGCUGAGACGCGAAAGCGUGGGGAGCAAACAGG
rnacentral:rRNA from 1 species